rnacentral:rRNA from 1 species
CUACACGGGUUUCUAAUCCUGUUUGCUCCCCUAGCUUUCGUCCCUCAGCGUCAGAAAUGAUCCAGCGAGCCGCCUUCGCCUCGGAUGUUCCUGCGGAUAUCUACGCAUUUCACCGCUACACCCGCAAUUCCACUCGCCUCUCUCAUCCUCUAGCGCGGCAGUUUCGGAAGCAGCCUCUGAGUUAAGCCCAGAGAUUUCACUUCCGACUUGCCGCACCGCCUACGGACCCUUUACGCCCAGUAAUUCCGAGCAACGCUGGCCCCCUACGUAUUACCGCGGCUGCUGGCAC